rnacentral:rRNA from 1 species
UACGUAGGGGGCAAGCGUUGUCCGGAAUUAUUGGGCGUAAAGAGCUCGUAGGCGGUCUGUCGCGUCUGCUGUGAAAACUCGAGGCUUAACCUCGAGCUGUCGGCGGAAACCAUCUGGCUAGAGUCCGGAAGAGGAGAAUGGAAUUCCCGGUGUAGCGGUGAAAUGCGCAGAUAUCGGGAAGAACACCCGUGGCGAAGGCGGUUCUCUGGGCCGGUACUGACGCUGAGACGCGAAAGCCUGGGGAGCGAACAGG